rnacentral:rRNA from 1 species
GAUGAACGCUGGCGGCGUGCCUAAUACAUGCAAGUCGAGCGAACGGACGAGAAGCUUGCUUCUCUGAUGUUAGCGGCGGACGGGUGAGUAACACGUGGAUAACCUACCUAUAAGACUGGGAUAACCUCGGGAAACCGGAGCUAAUACCGGAUAAUAUUUUGAACCGCAUGGUUCAAAAGUGAAAGACGGUCUUGCUGUCACUUAUAGAUGGAUCCGCGCUGCAUUAGCUAGUUGGUAAGGUAACGGCUUACCAAGGCAACGAUGCAUAGCCGACCUGAGAGGGUGAUCGGCCACACUGGAACUGAGACACGGUCCAGACUCCUACGGGAGGCAGCAGUAGGGAAUCUUCCGCAAAGGGCGAAAGCCUGACGGAGCAACGCCGCGUGAGUGAUGAAGGUCUUCGGAUCGUAAAACUCUGUUAUUAGGGAAGAACAUAUGUGUAAGUAACUGUGCACAUCUUGACGGUACCUAAUCAGAAAGCCACGGCUAACUACGUG